UAGGGAAUCUUCCACAAUGGACGAAAGUCUGAUGGAGCAACGCCGCGUGAGUGAAGAAGGUUUUCGGAUCGUAAAACUCUGUUGUAAGGGAAGAACACGUACGAGAGUAACUGCUCGUACCUUGACGGUACCUUAUUAGAAAGCCACGGCUAACUACGUGCCAGCAGCCGCGGUAAUACGUAGGUGGCAAGCGUUGUCCGGAAUUAUUGGGCGUAAAGCGCGCGCAGGCGGUUCUUUAAGUCUGAUGUGAAAGCCCACGGCUCAACCGUGGAGGGUCAUUGGAAACUGGAGAACUUGAGUACAGAAGAGGAAAGCGGAAUUCCACGUGUAGCGGUGAAAUGCGUAGAGAUGUGGAGGAACACCAGUGGCGAAGGCGGCUUUCUGGUCUGUAACUGACGCUGAGGCGCGAAAGCGUGGGGAGCAAACAGGAUUAGAUACCCUGGUAGUCCACGCCGUAAACGAUGAGUGCUAAGUGUUAGGGGGUUUCCGU
rnacentral:rRNA from 1 species